rnacentral:rRNA from 1 species
AUUGAACGCUGGCGGCAGGCCUAACACAUGCAAGUCGAGCGAGCGGCGGACGGGUGAGUAAUGUAUGGGGACUGCCCGAUAGAGGGGGAUAACUACUGGAAACGGUCGCUAAUACCCCAUACAAUCGGAUAACCCAUAUGGGAUUAUCUAGUAGGUGGGGUAAUGGCUCACCCAGGCGACGAUCCCUAGCUGGUCUGAGAGGAUGAUCAGCCAAACGGGGACUGGGACACGGCCCAGACUCCUACGGAGGCAGCAGUGGGGAAUAUUGCACAAUGGGCGCAAGCCUGAUGCAGCCAUGCCGCGUGUAUGAAGAAGGCCCUAGGGUUGUAAAGUACUUUCAGUCGGGAGGCGUUACCGGCAGAAGAAGCACCGGCUAACUCCGUGCCAGCAGCCGCGGUAAUAC